rnacentral:rRNA from 1 species
GACGAACGCUGGCGGCGUGCUUAACACAUGCCAGUCGAACGGAAAGGCCCUGCUUUUGUGGGGUGCUCGAGUGGCGAACGGGUGAGUAACACGUGAGUAACCUGCCCUUGACUUUGGGAUAACUUCAGGAAACUGGGGCUAAUACCGGAUAGGAGCUCCUGCUGCAUGGUGGGGGUUGGAAAGUUUCGGCGGUUGGGGAUGGACUCGCGGCUUAUCAGCUUGUUGGUGGGGUAGUGGCUUACCAAGGCUUUGACGGGUAGCCGGCCUGGGAGGGUGACCGGCCACAUUGGGACUGAGAUAGGGCCCAGACUCCUACGGGAGGCAGCAGUGGGGAAUAUUGCACAAUGGGCGGAAGCCUGAUGCAGCAACGCCGCGUGCGGGAUGACGGCCCUCGGGUUGUAAACCGCUUUCGCCUGUGACGAAGCGUGAGUGACGGUAAUGGGUAAAGAAGCACCGGCUAACUACGUG